rnacentral:rRNA from 1 species
UACAGAGGGGGCAAGCGUUAUUCGGAAUUAUUGGGCGUAAAGGGCGCGUAGGCGGCCUGGCAAGUGGAAGGUGAAAUCCCUCGGCUUAACCGAGGAACUGCCCUCCAAACUGCUUGGCUUGAGUCCGGGAGAGGUGAGUGGAAUUCCCAGUGUAGCGGUGAAAUGCGUAGAUAUCGGGAGGAACACCUGUGGCGAAAGCGGCUCACUGGACCGCAACUGACGCUGAGGCGCGAAAGCUAGGGGAGCAAACAGG